rnacentral:rRNA from 1 species
CGGGUGAGUAACACGUGAGCAACCUGCCUUUCAGAGGGGGACGAACAGUUGGAAACGACUGCUAAUACCGCAUAAAAUAACGGAACCGCAUGAUUCUGUUAUCAAAGGAGAAAUCCGCUGAAAGAUGGGCUCGCGUCUGAUUAGAUAGUUGGUGAGGUAACGGCCCACCAAGUCGACGAUCAGUAGCCGGACUGAGAGGUUGAACGGCCACAUUGGGACUGAGACACGGCCCAGACUCCUACGGGAGGCAGCAG